rnacentral:tmRNA from 1 species
GGGGGUGCACCGGUUUCGACUUGGAAACAAAGUACCGAUGGCAUGCAGAGGAUUCGGUUGGCCUCUUUAAAAAGCCGAAACGACAUAACUGUCAAAAAAUCAAAAGUUACUAGCAUUGAGUCUCACCCUGCAUUUGCAGCUGAGCACGAAGAUGCUAGAGCUGUUGCUUAAGACCUAACCCGUCUAUUAGCAAUCGACCCUCUGAGAUUGGACCAGGGAUCUUAGAAAGGUCGUCAGAGAUCUUGGUAUGAAAAAGAGUCGCUUGACUUCCAGCGGCACUCUUUCGAGAUUAAAGGAAGUGUAUAAGUCCUAAGUGGGGUUCCUUACAGCAAGACUUACACUAAAAUUAAGGAACUAAGCAUGUAGGCAUUGUUAUGGAGUUUGCUAAGGACGAGAGUUCGAUUCUCUCCACCUCCAA